UACGUAGGGUGCGAGCGUUAAUCGGAAUUACUGGGCGUAAAGCGUGCGCAGGCGGUUUGUUAAGUCCGCUGUGAAAUCCCCGAGCUCAACCUGGGAACUGCAUUUGUGACUGCACGGCUCGAGUGCGGCAGAGGGGGAUGGAAUUCCGCGUGUAGCAGUGAAAUGCGUAGAUAUGCGGAGGAACACCGAUGGCGAAGGCAAUCCCCUGGGCCUGCACUGACGCUCAUGCACGAAAGCGUGGGGAGCAAACAGG
rnacentral:rRNA from 1 species